CCCUCCUCUGGCCCAGGCUAUCCUGCGUCCCUGGCUGAUCACGGUCUGCUCGGGGAGCCUUCUGUUCCAGGCCAAAGCACAAGUGUUGGGCUGAGCAGCCUGGGGCAACAGCAGAUCUGCUCUGUGGCCUGUGGUGCUCCCACAAAGAAGUUCAUUGGUUUGCAUUGUCCGAGAGCCUCCCUCGAGACUGGACCUGGAGCGAAAUUGCCCGAGGAGCCCGCUGAGUGUGUUAGGUGAUACACUCGUGGUGAUAAAGGUCAAGUUGUCCAGUCUCCUGCCUGCAGAAUGGAGAGACAGUAUAAGGAGGAGGUUAAGAAGAGCAUGGACUCUGGGGCCAGACCGUUUGGAUUCACAUUUUGGCUCCAUCACUGACUGUGUGACCCCACGUGGGACCGCCGGCCCCAGGAUGCCCCGGGGGUGUGGAUGACCAGAGGCCCAGGCCCGGAUGCCGCCGCCCCGCGAGGGCCGCUCCCCGAGGGCCGC